rnacentral:rRNA from 1 species
UACGGAGGGGACUAGCGUUGUUCGGAAUUACUGGGCGUAAAGCGCACGUAGGCGGAUUUGUAAGUCGGGGGUGAAAUCCCGGGGCUCAACCUCGGAACUGCCUUUGAUACUGCAAAUCUCGAGUCCGGAAGAGGUGAGUGGAAUUCCUAGUGUAGAGGUGAAAUUCGUAGAUAUUAGGAAGAACACCAGUGGCGAAGGCGGCUCACUGGUCCGGUACUGACGCUGAGGUGCGAAAGCGUGGGGAGCAAACAGG